GCUGAGCUUAGUAAUGUGGGCUUGUAACCCAAAUGGGGGCAUUAAUGUGGUGGAAUGUUGGGCUGUCCCAGAUGGUUGGGCUUGGUGGGCUAAUUUCUGGCUUGCCCUAUCCAAGCUCAGAGUUGGAUCAUGUGGCCCAAUUGAAGAAAUGGGCUGCUUGAUUCCUAAAGUGGGGUGGACCGCGUGAGGCUGGUUUCACAGAGCAACGAACAGCUCCCGCUCUGAGCAGUGGAAGGAUAACGAGUCGGUGCCUUCCAAGUUCAGUAACACCUUAUGGGCUGCUCCAAUUAAACCACCACUUUU
rnacentral:SRP_RNA from 2 species